CCGAUGGAGGGGGAUAACUACUGGAAACGGUAGCUAAUACCGCAUAACGUCGCAAGACCAAAGAGGGGGACCUUCGGGCCUCUUGCCAUCGGAUGUGCCCAGAUGGGAUUAGCUAGUAGGUGGGGUAACGGCUCACCUAGGCGACGAUCCCUAGCUGGUCUGAGAGGAUGACCAGCCACACUGGAACUGAGCACGGUCCAG
rnacentral:rRNA from 1 species